rnacentral:rRNA from 1 species
UACGAAGGGGGCUAGCGUUGCUCGGAAUUACUGGGCGUAAAGGGCGCGUAGGCGGUUCGAUAAGUCAGCUGUGAAAACCAUGGGCUUAACUCAUGGCCUGCAGUUGAGACUGUCGGGCUGGAGUGUGGGAGAGGAGAGUGGAAUUCCUGGUGUAGCGGUGAAAUGCGUAGAUAUCAGGAGGAACACCGGUGGCGAAGGCGGCUCUCUGGACCACAACUGACGCUGAGGCGCGAAAGCUAGGGGGAGCAAACGGG